UGGGGAAUAUUGCACAAUGGGCGAAAGCCUGAUGCAGCGACGCCGCGUGCGGGAUGAAGGCCUUCGGGUUGUAAACCGCUUUUAAUUGGGAGCAAGCGAGAGUGAGUGUACCUUUUGAAUAAGCACCGGCUAACUACGUGCCAGCAGCCGCGGUAAUACGUAGGGUGCAAGCGUUAUCCGGAAUUAUUGGGCGUAAAGAGCUCGUAGGCGGUUUGUCACGCCUGGUGUGAAAGUCCAUCGCUUAACGGUGGAUCUGCGCCGGGUACGGGCAGGCUAGAGUGCAGUAGGGGAGAUUGGAAUUCCCGGUGUAACGGUGGAAUGUGUAGAUAUCGGGAAGAACACCAAUGGCGAAGGCAGAUCUCUGGGCUGUUACUGACGCUGAGGAGCGAAAGCAUGGGGAGCGAACAGGAUUAGAUACCCUGGUAGUCCAUGCCGUAAACGGUGGAUGCUGGAUGUGGGACCCUUCCACGGGUUCCGUGUCGGAGCUAACGCGUUAAGCAUCCCGCCUGGGGAGUACGGCCGCAAGGCUAAAACUCU
rnacentral:rRNA from 1 species